UACGUAGGGUGCAAGCGUUGUCCGGAAUUAUUGGGCGUAAAGAGCUCGUAGGCGGUUCGUCGCGUCGGCUGUGAAAACCCGGAGCUCAACUCCGGGCCUGCAGUCGAUACGGGCGGACUUGAGUUCGGCAGGGGAGACUGGAAUUCCGGGUGUAGCGGUGAAAUGCGCAGAUAUCAGGAGGAACACCGGUGGCGAAGGCGGAUCUCUGGGCCUUACCUGACGCUGAGGAGCGAAAGCAUGGGGAGCAAACAGG
rnacentral:rRNA from 1 species